rnacentral:rRNA from 1 species
AUGAACGCUGGCGGCGUGCCUAAUACAUGCAAGUCGAGCGAACAGACGAGGAGCUUGCUCCUCUGAUGUUAGCGGCGGACGGGUGAGUAACACGUGGAUAACCUACCUAUAAGACUGGGAUAACUUCAGGAAACCGGAGCUAAUACCGGAUAACAUGUUGAACCGCAUGGUUCAACAGUGAAAGACGGUCUUGCUGUCACUUAUAGAUGGAUCCGCGCCGCAUUAGCUAGUUGGUAAGGUAACGGCUUACCAAGGCAACGAUGCGUAGCCGACCUGAGAGGGUGAUCGGCCACACUGGAACUGAGACACGGUCCAGACUCCUACGGGAGGCAGCAGUAGGGAAUCUUCCGCAAUGGGCGAAAGCCUGACGGAGCAACGCCGCGUGAGUGAAGAAGGUCUUCGGAUCGUAAAACUCUGUUAUUAGGGAAGAACAAAUGUGUAAGUAACGAUGCACGUCUUGACGGUACCUAAUCAGAAAGCCACGGCUAACUACGU